rnacentral:rRNA from 1 species
AGUGAACGCUGGCGGCGUGCCUAACACAUGCAAGUCGAACGAUGAUGGAGAGCUUGCUCUCCUGAUUAGUGGCGCACGGGUGAGUAUACCAUAGAUAAUGUACCUCUUAGUUCGGGAUAGCACUGGAAACGGUGGUUAAUACCGGAUACUCCUUCUUGUCUUAAGGCAAGUCGGGAAAGUUUUUUCGCUAAGAGAUCAGUCUAUGUCCUAUCAGCUAGUUGGUGAGGUAAUGGCUCACCAAGGCAAUGACGGGUAUCUGGUUUGAGAGGAUGAUCAGACACACUGGAACUGAGACACGGUCCAGACUCCUACGGGAGGCAGCAGUGAGGGAUAUUGCACAAUGGAGGAAACUCUGAUGCAGCAACGCCGCGUGGAGGAUGACGCAUUUCGGUGUGUAAACUCCUUUUAAGAGGGAAGAUAAUGACGGUACCUCUUGAAUAAGCACCGGCUAACUCCGUGCCAGCCGCCGCCGUAA